ACCCCCUCCUGAUCGUUUACCUAAUUUGCAUAUUGGGGGGCUCCUGUUACCCCUCCUUUUCCCCCCUCCUGAUCACAAGGCAUCUAUGUGCAGCAGGAGGUAAGUACCAUCUACGAUUUUAUCCUCCGUCAGCCUACACGCUUGGAUUUGAGCCAGGAACAUGGAUCGAGUUUACGGCAAAGAUGGCUCCCUACCCCUCGGACACGCGAGGAGGUCUUUAUCAUCUGUUUUUAUACACAGACCUGGUCCGUUAUCAGAUGGUCGGUGAUGCUGCCCGUCUGCCUGCCACCAGCGGCAGACCAUCCCGGACGAGCCUGCCUGCAGAGGGACACCCUCCUCCAUCUCCUGAGCCUUCCACAUCGAGGGUCCAAGGGUCCACUUCUUCCUCUCCCUCCCACUCAGGAAGAACCAGCUCAUCCUCCUCCGCUGGACCCACGACAUCCACCGGUAGUGUACUCAAUGUUAACAGUCUUUGC